rnacentral:rRNA from 1 species
UCCUACGGGAGGCAGCAGUGGGGAAUAUUGCACAAUGGGCGCAAGCCUGAUGCAGCAACGCCGCGUGAGGGACGAAGGCCUUCGGGUUGUAAACCUCUUUUAGUAGGGAAGAAGCGACUGGGUUUUCCUGGGAGUGACGGUACCUGCAGAAAAAGCACCGGCUAACUACGUGCCAGCAGCCGCGGUAAUACGUAGGGUGCAAGCGUUGUCCGGAAUUAUUGGGCGUAAAGAGCUCGUAGGCGGUUUGUCGCGUCUGCUGUGAAAACCCGAGGCUCAACCUCGGGCCUGCAGUGGGUACGGGCAGACUAGAGUGCGGUAGGGGAGAUUGGAAUUCCUGGUGUAGCGGUGGAAUGCGCAGAUAUCAGGAGGAACACCAAUGGCGAAGGCAGAUCUCUGGGCCGUAACUGACGCUGAGGAGCGAAAGCAUGGGGGGCGAACAGGAUUAGAUACCCUGGUAGUCCAUGCCGUAAACGUUGGGAACUAGAUGUGGGGACCAUUCCACGGUCUCCGUGUCGCAGCUAACGCAUUAAGUUCCCCGCCUGGGGAGUACGGCCGCAAGGCUAAAACUCAAAGGAAUUGACGGGGGCCCGCACAAGCGGCGGAGCAUGCGGAUUAAUUCGAUGCAACGCGAAGAACCUUACCAAGGCUUGACAUAUACCGGAAACGGCUGGAAACAGUCGCCCCGCAAGGUCGGUAUACAGGUGGCGCAUGGUUGUCGUCAGCUCGUGUCGUGAGAUGUUGGGUUAAGUCCCGCAACGAGCGCAACCCUCGUCCUAUGUUGCCAGCACGUAAUGGUGGGAACUCAUGGGAUACUGCCGGGGUCAACUCGGAGGAAGGUGGGGAUGACGUCAAAUCAUCAUGCCCCUUAUGUCUUGGGCUUCACGCAUGCUACAAUGGCCGGUACAAAGGGCUGCGAUACCGCAAGGUGGAGCGAAUCCCAAAAAGCCGGUCUCAGUUCGGAUUGAGGUCUACAACUCGACCUCAUGAAGUCGGAGUCGCUAGUAAUCGCAGAUCAGCAACGCUGCGGUGAAUACGUUCCCGGGCCUUGUACACA